rnacentral:rRNA from 1 species
GACGUAGGGUGCGAGCGUUGUCCGGAAUUACUGGGCGUAAAGCGUGUGUAGGCGGCUAGGUAAGUCGGAUGUGAAAGCCCCGGGCUCAACUCGGGAAGUGCACUCGAUACUGCUUAGCUCGAGUACCGGAGAGGUUGGUGGAAUUCUCGGUGUAGGGGUGAAAUUCGUAGAUAUCGAGAGGAACACCGGUGGCGAAGGCGGCCAACUGGACGAGUACUGACGCUGAGACACGAAAGCGUGGGGAGCAAACAGG